AAGGAAUAUUGGACAAUGGAGGCAACUCUGAUCCAGCCAUGCCGCGUGAAGGAAUAAGGCCCUAUGGGUUGUAAACUUCUUUUAGACGGGACAAAACCCCUUUACGUGUAAAGGGUUGAUGGUACUGUCAGAAUAAGCAUCGGCUAACUUCGUGCCAGCAGCCGCGGUAAUACGAAGGAUGCAAGCGUUAUCCGGAAUUAUUGGGUUUAAAGGGUGCGUAGGCGGACUAAUAAGUCAGUGGUGAAAGCCUGCAGCUUAACUGCAGAAUUGCCAUUGAUACUGUUAGUCUUGAGUACAGUUGAGGUAGGCGGAAUGUGUCACGUAGCGGUGAAAUGCUUAGAUAUGACACAGAACACCCAUUGCGAAGGCAGCUUGCUAAGCUGUAACUGACGCUGAGGCACGAAAGCGUGGGGAGCAAACA
rnacentral:rRNA from 1 species